GGAGGGAGAGGGAGAGAAAAAGAGAGACUUAUAUUAAUACAAUUAUAUAUAUAUAUAUAUAUAUAUACACACAUACCAACAAAAUCUUUCAUUAAUAUAAUAAUACAAAUUAAAAUUUUAUGCAACUAUAUAAAUUAGUAUUUACACAUAUAACAAAUUAUAAUACUCUAAUAUCCUUCCUGUGCUUUCUCUUGAAUUCCUAGACAAAGUGGUUCAUCAUAUCUUGUUGUGAAAUUACACUCCAUAUGUUGUUGUUGUUGAAGUGUGUUAGAAUAAUCCCACGAUCUCAUUUGGAGUUAAGUUCGAUUUACCAAGGCCAAAAGUGACAUCCGCUUCUACUAUAGGCAUCACGACCUGUAAGCAUAAGAAAUAUACAGUUGAAACUUUUUUUUGGCAACACUGUGAACAUUAUCAUAGACUAACAAAAGAAAUCAUAAUUACAACCUAUGAGCACAAUACAGUUAGAACUUGUAGUCAUGUAUUUAAGUGUUCAAGCAAUAGGAUCAGAUAGUAGUUUUAAUUUUAGAUAAAACGUUUUAACAAGUUUAAGAGGGGUUUUUUGUGUAAAAAACUUCAGCAGUAACAAGUAAUGUUACUUCUUCAGCUGAGACAUUGAUGUAUGUUAUCUACCACAAUAGAAAAACUCAAACAAAACAAAAUGAAAACAUCGAGUAGGAGCAAUACUAAUCAAGGCAGGAAACAGAAUGCUAAAAACAACCAUCUCAAAAUGUGGAAAGCAAUUCUAAGACCAGGGACAUUUAACUAGGUGAAUCCACAAAGUCUAAUAAUAUGACCAAUUUAGGAUAUAACUUUCCACAAAAAAUUCUAGAAAAUAGGGAACAUAUAAUAAAAAUUAUAUAACGUGAAGUGAAGAUGUUAUACUUACCCUAGCUAUGAAACUAGAAAGAAAAAGAGAUGCCUUGGUAAAAAAAAUAAAGAACAGUAGGCUUUCACAAGCUUCUAACAUCAGGUACAAUUCCAGCUCCCUUAGAUUGUCUUUCCCUGAUGAUUUAAAACUUGUGCUUAAACAUGUCAUAAUAUUCAUGUUUUAUAAAAGCUUCUCAUUAAGGAAAUAUUGAAAUGUGACAUUCUUUUUGUACGAACUAAUAAACAAAUAGUGCAAAAAAGGUGGAGGGGAAAGUAUAAUGUAUUUCUAGAUUUGCAACUUAAUUUAUGAAUAAGAGAGAACAGUGAUAGAGAACCAAAGCAUAGAUCUAAUAAGCUGAGGGAAAAUACUGGCACAUUAAUGCAAGGCAGACAUGGAAGUUGAAAGCUAAUUCUUACUGUUGUUUCCUUUUUAACAAGUUACUUGAUGCUAUUGAUAAAAAAAAGAGUUACUUAACGUUGGUGAUAUAUAUAUCGGCUACACCGUAAAGUGUAAGGCACUUUUUACGUUAUAUUUUCAAGUACGUUGCAUAUUCGGAUUGCAUAUAUGUACAGACUACAUGGACCUAUUUAACAAUAAAAAGGAGACUGUUAAAGCCAAAAAAAUAAGAAAAUUAUAUAAUUUAGUGUUGUUGUAGAUAGAAAGUGAAAUCUAUAACAUUUCAAUGUGCAAAUUAAUGUUAUGCUGAAUAACAAAAAGAAACUUUUUAGAAAUUCACUGGUCAGAGAUGUGAAGAACAUAUGAUGUUAGAAUGCAAGGCAGAUCGUGCAUAAAUGGAAGCAGAAUGUCAGACGGGAUACCUGAAGCCGAAACACAAAAGAUAGGUCAUUUUAUUUAAGGUGUUCCUCAAAAAGUAGCAACACAUUAACACAUAUAUCUAAAUAGAGUAGAUGUUAUACCACACCACGAUGAAAAGAAUGUUUUUGUACUACUAAUACUACAAUCAUGUAGAGCAUCCCAAUGAGAAGUGACUGAAACAUUGUCACAUAGACACUCUAUUUGGUCGUUGUUAGACGUUCUAGCCCAAGAUCAUUUGAGACCCGAACGCUAGGAAAGCAAUAAUAUUUUAACACAAUCUCAACACACAAAUGAAGUGCAAUUUGGUAGCAUAGGUCGGGAAUACAUGUCGGAUUUCCGUAGCAACUACCAUUGUCUAUACCACCAAGGAUAACCUUACAGCCAUAGCACAAGUAGACUUAAGAGAUCAAAUAUCAAAACUUAACUAGAUAAUCAUGGCAUAUUAUCAGUUUUGCAAGUACUAGGAGAAAAUUCAUACUGAAGAGGCAAUGAAAGAUGUAAAGCUACAAACUAGAAAACAUAGAGAACAACUUAUAAGUAAUACACACAGCAAGAGUUAGAUAUAGAAUAAAAUAGCAAAUAGAAUUUAUAUGUCCUGUACAGAAUAAAAUAGCAAACAGAAUUUAUAAGUCUUGUACAGAAUAAAACAACAAACAGAAUAAAAUAGCAAGAGUUAAAUUUAUCCUUUUGUCUACAAUAAUCUUCUUCGAACUCUAAACAAGGUCCUGUACAGAAUAAAACAGCAAAUAGAAUUUAUAAGUAAUAUACACAGCAAGAGUUAGAUACAGAACUAAGAUCAUUCUUAAAAAGUAAAGAGUGUCCAUUGUAAAAGAGAAAUAGUCUACAUUUGUCAAAAGCUAGGGACGAUCAAUAAUCUCCAUAGGAAAAAUGAAACUUUUAGCCGAAAAACAUUUGUAACAAACACUUAGGAAAACUAAUUAGACGUAUUUAGAGGAAUGUUCAAUAGGAAACUUACUAAAGAGCAGGAGCAGAAAAGGAUAUAACUAACUUUUACGUCCCACUUACCAAUUUUCAUUCCAUAAAAACAGAAAAUGGUGAAGGGGAAAACAAUUUUGAGAUAGGGAAGUAUGAGUCAGAUCCUAUUCAAGGUUAACAAAAGCAAACAAAAAAACUGAUGAAAUGAACGCUAACCGGCCAAUUCAGGCGUCAUGGAUUUUACGGAGUAAAGAAGGUACCUAAUACUCAAUACAGUAGAGAUUUUAAUAUUGAAUUGCAAAGACAUAUAGAUAAGGGUCCUAAAUUCAAGAUCAGAGGUCCAAGAAUUUGGUUAGUGUAUAAAACAAAAGUCUGAAAUUUAGCUGUGUACCAAAUCUGAUCGGAGCUCUAAUAUAUGUAAAAUAUGUUUGACAAACUCAAAAGCUAACUGAUUAUGAAGAAAAAAGGAAAGAACAACCUAUUAGGAAGAAUAUAAUAAAGAACGAGAAUUCAACUUCACAGGUAAUAUGAUGAUCUAAAAAAACAUCAAAGAUUAUUAUGCAACUGAUCCUUGCAGCUCAGUAAAGAACUGCCAAUAUACUGAAUACUAAAAUAGUUUUUUUUGUCCGUUGAACUCCACUCGAACCCACCACUAUAUUUCUGCAAAACUACUGAAUUCAACCACAUCUGCACAUAAGACUAAUUAACUUUCAAUCUACCUGGAAAUUUUGAUCUACCUGCCAUUGUUUAUCAUCUCACAUAAACUCAACCAAUCCACUAUCACAGCUAUUGUAACUCUUCCACCAUUGAAUUAAAGCUACUCUCUACCACAACAAAACCUAAGCAAUUAUCAUCCAGUCAAGCUAAAGACUGAUUUAUUCACCUAUAUACAAUCUACUAAAACAGACUUGCAAAAUAAAUAACUGCCUUAUUUAUCUUUACUAUUCCUUCACCAAACAUUCGUCAAUCCAUAAUUUCAAUAUUAAGAAUACGAUGUAGAGUCUGUGUUGCAGAGUUAAUACUAUCACAUAAAACUCCAGGAGACGGGUUGAGCUCCCUUGUCAGGGAUACAGGUGCAGAUUUAGCAAAAGGAGGCAAAUCAAUAUCAGAAGGUGAACUAAGCAGGUCAAGGGAAAUUGUCCUUUUAGGCUUAACCAAAAAUUUGGGGAUUGGAAAAGAACUAGGUGGCAGCGAUUUCGAAUAAGCUGGACUAGUCCAUAGUUCAGAAUAACCAAAUUCAUCAUUCAAAGACUCUACCUUUCGCAUACCAUCACCAACUUUAAUGUCAAUUGGUAUCGAAAUCACACUACUCGAGGCUGAUUUUUUUGACUUGUUUGAACCUUCAAAGUAUGAACUACUGGGAAUUAUAGAUUUUCCAUUGAUGGGUGUGGAGUAUGACCUUAAUAGGGUAGGAAGUUGUAACACCCCGAAAUAUUAUCCCGAGAUGCCACAUGAUGCCCAAGGCUACACAUAGCCUCAAGCUAAUCUUUUAAGCCAAAACACUACCCUUGGAUUUCAACACAACAAGAUACACGCUACGCUAAGGAUAUAUAUAAGUACACAUCAUAUCACAUCUCACAUGGCACGAAAUAUAGUUAGACUGUACAUAUAUAGAAUGUCUAUACACAAACCAACCUAAUAAUACACUAGUCUGACAUAGCCUCUAUACAGCAAAAUCAACGAGCCAUUGGGACAAACCCCCAACUGACUCAACAGACCUAAGGGAUAACAAAACAACAGCACUAAAACUAACAACUUGGUCCUCAAACCAUGAGGACUCACCUCAAAAGAAACGUAGAUGCGGCACUCAGAUAUCACUAUCGCAGCUGCGGCUGAGUACCUGAACCUAUAUCAUGGUAAGAAUGUAGACCGUAGAGAAAAAUAUGGGUCAGCACAAGAUACGUACUGAGUAUGUGGGGGCGCAUGCAAAAUAUAAAUAAUAUCAUAAAUUUCGUAAAAACAUACAUACGGACCAUAAUGACACACCUAGUUUGACUAACAUUGAAUAAUGCAACUCAUAACAUCUUAGAUAGGAAAUAAAGGAGAAAAACCUCAUAAAUCAUUGUAGAUUAUCAUAGGCAACUUGACUUACCAUAUCAAAACUCAGAGUGACUCGGUAUUUCAAUAAAAAUGACUCUUACGGACAGGGGAAUUUCCUAUAACCGACAACUCCACGUGAGCUAUGUGGAAUACCAACAUUUAAAACCCCCAUUGGCAAGAGCAUCAUACUCUUUGCCAAGGAGUACGACCUUAAAACUACAAUAAUCACAAUUGGGCUCUUUGGCCAAUAAUAUCAUCAUCAAACAACCCUACAGUGGCACAUAGGUUUAGGAAAAUACCAAAUUUCCCUCUCGAUGCUAAGUACUACUCCCCGACAAGCUCAGAACGCGUUAGGAAAUCCACCAUAACAUCUCAAGGGUCUAUCAUAAAGACCAAAUCAAAUCUCUUUCUUAUUUAUCAAAUCAUAUUAAUUUAUGGAUUCCUAACUCAACACAUUUUAGCUCAAAACAUUUUAAUCUUCCUCAACACCAACAAGGUAUCAAUGCGUUGAACCAUAACUGACUAGACAUUUGGACAAGGAUAUGAAGACUCAAUACAUAAUAUUUUCAACAAUUUAACUCAUCAAAACCAUCCGAAAAAUNNNNNNNNNNNNNNNNNNNNNNNNNNNNNNNNNNNNNNNNNNNNNNNNNNNNNNNNNNNNNNNNNNNNNNNNNNNNNNNNNNNNNNNNNNNNNNNNNNNUUUCCAAUAUCAAUUAUAAAUUCAUAAUAAGGAAAUAGUGGAAUGAUAGUAUAAAUCAAGGCUUAACAAAUUAAAUCAUCAUACUCUCAUAAUCAAAUACUUUUUGGACAUAAUUCCAUCUCAACAUCAUACACAUAUCGGAUGACAUAAUCCCAUAGCUCAUGGACAAUAAUAUAAGAUAUAAAACCAUAUUUCCAAUUCAUGGUAAAACAUGUAAAAUCUCAUGUCAAUGUAAUUCAACAAAAAUACCGGGCACAAGAUCAAAAGGAUAAUCUUGUUCAAAGCCCCACAUAGCUAAAAAUGGAAGAUGAAUAUGAACUUUCGACUCCAAAACUUUAUUCACAAAAAUAAAGGGUGCUUCUCGAAGCCCUUAAUAUGAUCAACUCGAAUUCCAAAUCAAUUUGAAAUUUCUACGGUUCAAUCAAAAGAUAUAGAAGGAUGAAAUUUGGAGUAAUUGGGUUGGGGUUUGAGCCUUAGGAAAUUUUGGAGAAAAAUGAGCUAUUAAUGCUUCUUAAUGGGAUUAAAUCCAUGGUUUACCAGAUGGAUUGGAGUAGGAAUGACCAAAAUACCCUUAAAAAUCAAAUAAUGUCAAAUUUAUCCUUUGGUGGACUAUUUUGAUAGGCUGAAGUAGAUCGACCAUAACUUUUUCUUCUAAUGGCCAAAUUAGAUAUAACCAAUUUCAUUGGAAAGAGGACUUUCAGAGAUUUUUGUUGAUAUAUAGUAGCUUACCCAGAUCAUUAUGUACAAUGAGUUAUGAUUGUUUGAAGUUGACCCUAAAAUUCGCCUGGCUUUAGUAUUUUUUUCUGCACAUUUACUGUUCACCACUAUUCAGGGUAAGAUCGGAAUGAUCAUAACUCAUCGUUCGAGUGUCCGUUUUGGAUGAUCCACAUAUCUUUGGAAAGCUUAUUCAAUGAUCUACGCUAUGACGGAUCGCAUAUCUAGAAAUUCCUCACAUAAAAAUUAUUAACUAUGAUAAAGAGCAGAAUUCAACAUAUUUUCAUCCAAGAUCUUAACGGAAAAUUUUUUUGGGGCAUCACAUCAUAUCCCCCUUGGAAACAUUCAUCCUCAAAUGUUGAUAGGUAGGUCAAGAAUACUAUGAAAAUAAGUAUACAGAGAAAAAUCAUCUUGCCCAAGCAUAUACUCCAUUCUAGAUUUUUUUAGAUAUCAUAGAAAACACACAAGCCAAGAUAAACAUAGCAAUAAGGAAUAAAUCAAAAGAGAACGAUACCUUUGACAUGCUCAGGAUUUGUAGGAAAGAGGUGGGGAUAUUUGGCGCACAUAUCCACUUCGGCUUCCCAAGUAGCACUCUCUACGGAUUGAUUUUGCCAAAGCACUUUAACCAAAGGAACCUCCUUGUUUCUUAACCUACGAACUUGAAAGUCAAAAACCUCAACCAAAAUCUCUUCAUAUGAAAGACUAUCUUGAAUACCCGAGCUUUCAGAAGGAUCAAUCACAACAGAAUCACCAAUAGACUUCUUAAACAUAGCAACAUGGAAAACUAGAUGGACGUUAGAUAACUCCGCGGGCAAUUCAACCUUAUAUGCUACCUUCCCAAUGCGAUCCAUAAUCUUAUAGGGACCAAUGUAAUGGGGACUUAGUUUCCCUUUCUUCCCAAACUCUUCACCCCUUUCAUGGGUGAAACUUUCAAGUACACUAAAUCACCAACAUCAAAUUCAAGGUCUUUCCUCCUUACAUCUGCAUAUGAUUUUUGAUAACUUUGGACGGUUUUCAACCUUUCCCGAAUUAACUUAACCUUCUCCAUGGCCUCGAACACCGCAUCCGGUCCAGUCGUGGCAGCCUCACCAACUUUAAACCAACCAAUGGGUGAUCUACACCUUCUACCAUACAAAGCUUCAAACGAGGCUAUUCCAAUAGUAGCAUGAAAACUGUAAUUGUAAGCAAACUCGAUUAAUGCUAAGUGCUCAUCCCAACUACCUUUAAAAUCAAGCACACAAGCCCUCAACAUAUCUUCUAAAGUCUGAAUGGUCUGCUUGGCCUAACCAUCUAUUUGUGGAUAGAAAGUAGAACUUAAACGAAUUUGCGUACCAAGACCCUUCUGGAAAAAUUUCCAAAACUGAGAGGUAAACUGAGUACCUCUGUCAGAAAUAAUAUCCAAAGGGAUUCCAUAAAGUCUGACGAGUUCCCGAAUAUAUAUUCUAGCAUAAUCUCCAGCUGUAUACGAUGAAUGCACAGUCAAAAAAUGAGCUGAUUUUGUCAGCCGAUCUACGACAACCCAAAUCGAAUCAUGAUGGUGAUGAGAAGGAGGCAAACCAACUAUGAAAUCCAUAUUCACUUUCUCCCAUUUCCAAGUAGGAAUGCUAAACUCUUGCAUCACAUCACUAGGCCUUUGAUGCUCUAUUUUAACCUGUUGACACGUGGAACACUUCGCCACAAAUUCUACUAUGUUCUUCUUCAUACCAUUCCACCAAUAGAUUUCCCGCAAAUCAUGGUACAUCUUGGUAGCACCAGGAUGGAUGGAGUAUCGCGUACCAUGCGCUUCCACCAUAAUCCUCUGCUUCAAGUUAUCAACAUCAGGAACACAUAAUCUUUCUUGGAGUCUCAAAAUGUCAUCUCCCCCUUGGGAGAAAACCUCCACCUUUUGGUCUUUAAUUGACUCUUUUAACCUGACCAAGAUAGGAUCCCUGUCUUGCUUCUCCUUCACUUCCGAAACUAAAGAGGAUUCAGAACCGCUUUGCACUCCUAUACUACCCUUAGCAUCACCAAACAACCUAACCCCCAAUCUAGCUAAAUGAUGUACCUCACGGGCCAACUCAUUCUUACCAAUCUUCACAUGUGCUACGCUACCCAUGGACUUUUGACUAAGGGCAUCUGCUACUACAUUGGCCUUGCCCGGAUGAUAUAGCACACUUAUAUCAUAAUCUUUCAAUAGUUCUAACCAUCAUCUCUGCCUAAGAUUCAACUCUUUUUGGGUGAAUACAUACUGCAAGCUCUUAUGGUCUGUGAAGACAUCGACAUGGACACCAUACAAAUAAUGUCUCCACAUUUUCAAAGACAAAACCACGAAAGCUAAUUCAAGGUCAUGGGUAGGAUAAUUCUUCUCAUGAGGCUUUAGCUGCCUGGAAGCAUAAGCUAUAACCUUGCCCUUUUGCAUCAAUACACAACCUAAACCGACUCUGCAAGCAUCGCAAUACACCAUAAAACCAUCAACACCGUCAGACAAAGUCAACACAAGGGCUGAAGUGAGUCGAGUCUUCAACUCCUGAAAACUCUUCUCGUAAGAUUCGAACCAUAGGAACUUCACUUUUUUUGGGUCAAACGGGUCAUAGGAGACGCAAUAGAUGAAAACCCUUUAAUAAAAAGACGAUAAUAACCAGCUAGACACAAGAAACUUCGGAUAUCAGAAGGAGAAAUAGGUCUAGGCCAACUCUUUAUAGCCUCUAUCUUUUGAGGAUCAACUCUAAUACCUUCGGAAGAAACAACAUGACCAAGAAGGCUACAGAGUUCAGCCAGAACUCACACUUACUGAACUUAGCAUACAACCGAUGAGUUCGAAGAGUUUCCAACAUGAUUCAGAGAUGAUCCACAUGAUCACCCUCACAUUAGGAGUAAAUAAGAAUAUCAUCAAGGAAAACUAUUAUAAAUAAAUCCAGAUAUGACCGGAAUACAUGGUUCAUAAGAUCCAUGAAAAAUGCUAGAGCAUUAGUUAACCCAAAAGACAUCACUAGAAAUUCAAAAUAACCGUAACGGGUUCAAAAGGCUUUCUUGGGGAUAUCACAUUCCCUAACCUUAAGUUGGUGAUAACUGGAUCUGAGUUCUAUCUUCAAAAAGUAGCUCGCACCUUGCAAUUGAUCAAAUAAAUCAUCAAUUCAAGGAAGCGGAUAUUUAUUCUUGAUAGUAACCCUAUUAAGCUGCAGGUAAUCAAUACACAUCCGCAAAGAACCAUCUUUCUUAUGCACAAAUAGGAUAGGUGCACCCCAUGGGAAUACACUAGGUCUGAUAAAGAUUUUGCCUAAAAGAUCUUUCAAUUGCUCCUUCAACUCUUUAAGUUCUGCGGGAGCCAUGCGAUGCGGAGAAAUGGAAAUAGGCUGAGUAUCGGGAAAAAGGUCAAUUCCGAACUCUAUCUCUUUAUCAAGAGGUACUCCAAGGAGAUCUUUCGGAAAGAUAUCAAGAAACUCAUUAACAACAUUAAUUGACUGAAUGGUCAGGGUUUUAGACUUAGUGUCUUUAACCCAAACCAAAUGGUGGAUGCAACCCUUGAAAAUCAACUUCCUAGCUUUGAGAUAGGAUAUGAAAUGACCCUUAGGAAUCACAAAACUCCUGGACCAUUUGAGGAUAGGUUCAGCAAAAAAAACCACACGGGCACGACAAUCAAUAGACGCAUUGCGUGAGUGAAGCCAAUCCAUACCCAGAAUGAUAUCAAAGUCAACCAUAUCUAGCUCAAUCAAAUCAGCAUACAUAACCUGAUGAAAGAUAGUAAUGGGAUAUUUCUUAUACACCUGUUUAGCAAUGACAGACUCUCCUACCGGAGUAGAAACUAAAAUAGGCUCAAAAAUUAGUUCAAGAUCCGUUUCAAAAUUUACAGCAAACAGAGGUGUCACAUAAGAAAAACUUAAACCGGGGUCCAUCAACACAUAGACAUCAAAAUAGAAAAAAUGAAGCAUACCAGUGACAACAUCAGGAAAGUCCUCCUACUCCUGAUGAGGUGGUAUAGCAUAGAAAUGAUUCUGGCAUUGACCGCCAGCAGUAAUAGAUGAAGCACCCUGAGGAGGAACUGGACGGGCUGCGGGAGGCGGGGUACUUGUAGCCUGACUCUGGGGAUGGGCAUAACGACUCCGCUGUCUGGCAUACGGGCAGUCUCUAAGUAUGUGGCCCAACUUUCCACAACCAAAGCAGCCUCGCUGCCUCAUAUAACACUCCCCAAAAUGGUCUUUACCACACUUAGCACAUGAAGGAGGAUGAGGCCGAUUGCUUACACUGUCCUAAGAACUGGAAGGUACCGACCUAUUCCUGAGCUCCUACCUGCCCCGAUAUACGAGAGCACUAGCUGAGGAAGGCAUAGGUAUAAAUGGACAUCUCUGAAACUGAGAGCGACUCUCUCCAAAGAAUCUAGUCUGACUAGACCCUGUUGCUCCGAUCUGACUCUCUUAUUCCCUCUUACUCUUUCUCUUUUAUUUAUCUUAUCUGACUUAAUCUGUUGGGCGUGAAUGAUUAACCUAGGAAGAUCAAUAUCCCUGUUGAUCAUAGCAGAUCUACAUUCUUUCACCACAUAACUCAACAUCCCAGUUAGAAACUUGCUCAUACUAGUCCUUGAGUCAGCCAUUAUAUUGGGAGCAUACUUUGAUAGCUGAUUAAACUUAAGACAAUACUUCUUAACCGACAUGGAGCCUUGUCUCAAAUUCAUAAACUCCUCUAUCUUAGCUUCCCGUAACUUAAGAGGAAAAAAUCUAUCCAAGAAAGCAUCUUGGAACAAUUGCUAAGUCACAGGAGCAGUAUCUUCCUCUCUACCCUUAUUCCAUAACUGCACCCAGUCAUAGGCAACAUCCUUCAACCUAUAAGAAGCCAGCUCCACACUUUCUUCCUAGAUCACGUGCAUAAUCUGUGUAAUUUUCUUUAUUUCAUCAACAUACAUCUGUGGGUCCUCACCUGCUCUUGACCCAUGAAACUCUGGUGGAUUCAUCCACAUAAAGUUACGAAUUCAUGCUGCUGUCGAAUUAUUUUCCUGCGAAGGUGGAGUAUUGGCCUGAGUAUUUAUGGUAAUUGCCUGGGCUAGCAUCUAAAAAGCUGCUCAAAAUUUAGCAUGGGAUACCGUCUCAUGUAACGGAUCAAUGGGUUGAGGUUAGUUGUUUUUGCGAGCUCGACAUAGAGGCAUUUUCUAUCAUAAGAACACACGAAUUAAUAGCAGAAGGAAACAGUUGUAAGCAUGAUACACUCUUGUAGAAAGAAAGAAAUGACUUUUCCUAGAAUGCCCCACAGCCUCUUGAUCAUAGGUGUGGUGCGCUAAUAUCGAUGCUCUAGACACUACGUAAUGCGGCUUGUCAGACUCCCUAGGACUUUUCACAACCUUAGGCUCUGAUAUCAAGUUUGUAACGCCUUAAAAUAUCAUCCCAAGAUGCCACACAGUGUCCAAGGCUACACGUAACCUCAAGCUAACCCUUUAAGCCAAAACACUACCCUUGGGUUCUAACACAACAACAUACACUCUACGCUAAGGAUAUAUAUAUAAGUACAUAUCAUAUCACAUCGCACAUAUCUUGGAAGAUCAUUAGACUGUACAUAUAUGGAAUGUCUAUACACAAACCAACCCAACAAUACACUAGUCUGAUAUAGCCUCUAUACAGCAAAAUCAAUGAGCCAUUGGGACAAACCCCUAACUGACUCAACAGACCAAAGGGAUCACAAAAAAAUAGCACCAAAACUAGCAACUUGGUCCUCGAACCAUGAGGACUCACCACUGAAGGAACGUAGAUAAGGCACUCAGAUAUCACUGUCGCGGCUGCGGUUGAGUACCUGAACCUACAUCAUGGUAAGAAUGUAGACCAUAGAGAAAUAUGUGGGUCAGCACAAGAUACGUACUGAGUAUGUAAAGGCGCAUUCAAAAUAUAAAUAAUAUCAUAAAUUUCCUAAAAAUGUACAUACGGACCAUAAUGACACACCUAGCUUAAGUGACAUUAAAGCAUGCAACUCAUAACAUCUUAGAUAGGAAAUGUAGGAGAAAACCUCAUAAAUCAUUAUAGAUCAUCAUAGGCAACUUGACUUACCAUAUCAAAACUCGGAGUGACUCGGUAUUUCAAUAAACAUGACUCUUAUGGACAGGGGAGUUUCCUAUAAUCGACAAAUCCACGUGAGCUAUGUGGAAUACCAAUAUUUGAAACCCCCAUUGGCAAGAGCGUCAUACUCUUUGCCAGGGAGUACGACCUUAAAACUACAAUAAUCACAAUUGGGCUCUUUGGCUAAUAAUAUCAUCAUCAAACAACCCUACGGUGGCACAUAGAAUUAGGGAAAUACCAAAUUUCCCUCUCGAUGCUAAGUACUACUCCCCGACAAGCUCAGAACGCGUUAGGAAAUCCACCAUAACAUCUCAAGGGUCUAUCAUAAAGACCAAAUCAAAUCUCUUUCUCAUUUAUCAAAUCAUAUCAAUUUGUGGAUUCCUAACUCAACACAUUUUAGCUCAAAANNNNNNNNNNNNNNNNNNNNNNNNNNNNNNNNNNNNNNNNNNNNNNNNNNNNNNNNNNNNNNNNNNNNNNNNNNNNNNNNNNNNNNNNNNNNNNNNNNNNNNNNNNNNNNNNNNNNNNNNNNNNNNNNNNNNNNNNNNNNNNNNNNNNNNNNNNNNNNNNNNNNNNNNNNNNNNNNNNNNNNNNNNNNNNNNNNNNNNNNNNNNNNNNNNNNNNNNNNNNNNNNUAAAUUAAAUCAUCAUACUCUCAUAAUCAAAUAGUUUUUGGACAUAAUUCCAUCUCAACAUUAUACACAUAUGGGAUGACAUAAUCCCAUAGCUCAUGGACAAUAAGAUAAGAUAUAAAACCAUAUUUCCAAUUCAUGGUAAAACAUGUAAAAUCUCAUGUCAAUGUAAUUCAACAAAAAUAUCGGGCACAAGAUCAAAAGGAUAAUCUUGUUCAAAGCCUCACAUACCUAAAAAUGGAAGGUGAAAAUGAACUUCCGACUCCAAAACUUUAUUCACAAAAAUAAAGGGUGCUUCUCGAAGCCCUUAAUAUGAUCAACUCGAAUUUUAAAUCAAUUUAAAAUUUCUACGGUUCAAUCAAGAGACAUAGAAGGAUGAAAUUUGGAGUAGUAGGGUUGGGGUUUGAGCCUUAGGAAAUUUUGGAGAAAAAUGAGCUAUUGAAUGCUCUUAAUGGACUUAAAUCCAUGGUUUACCUGGAUGGAUUGGAGUGGGAAUGACCAAAAUACCCUUAAAAAUCAAAUAAUGUCAAAUUUAUCCUUUGGUGGACUGUUUUGAUAGGCUGUAGUAGAUCGACCAUAACUUUUUGCUCUGAUGGCCAUAAACCAAUUUCAUUGGAAAGAGGACUUUUAGAGAUUUCUAUUGAUAUAUAGUAGCUCAGCCAUAUCAUUAUGUACUAAGAGUUAUGAUCGUUUGAAGUUGACCCUAAAAUUCACCUGGCCUCAGUAUUUUAAUCCUGCACAUUUAAUGUUCACCACUAUUCACGGUUAGAUCGGAAUGAUCAUAACUCACCGCUCGAGUGUCCGUUUUAGAUGAUCCACAUAUCGUUGGAAAGCUUAUUCGAUGAUCUACAUGAUGACCGGUCGCAUAUAAAGAAAUUCCACACAGAAAAAUUUGUAAUCACGAUGAUAAUAGAAUUCAACACAUUUUCAUUCGAGAUCUUACUGGAAAAUUUUUUUGGGGCAUCACAGAAGUAUACCAACACAAGACUCAAAACUCCAACAAUUGAUUUCUUUAAAACCAACAGAAGGAGGUGACCCAAAGAAACCAAAUCUAACAGGAACUUGAUCCCUAGUUCUAUCAUAGUAAUGAUUCUGGAUGAGCAAUAACAAGUGUCUCCAUUUCUAAAUUAAACAAAUUAAUUGAUCCAAUUCACUACAUUAUUAUACCAAAGAAUUAAAGAUAUAACAAGCAAGCACAGUAAAAAGGGUCUCUUUUGGGCUUUUGGGCUUUUGGGAUUCAGAAAAAGCUAGAAAUCAUAGAUCUUCUCCAUAACCACAUCACACUCCAAUUUCUUUGGAUCUAUUAGCAAGAAAAAAUUGAAGAAAAAAAUAAGCAAUCGUAGAAAAUAAUAUUAACCCAUGAGCUAAAAACAAAAACCCAGGUUGAAAAAGUUUUUAAAAAUUAAAAAAUCAACAAAAAUAAGAAACGAGAUUUAUUACAGCGAGGAAAGCAAUUAGUGAAAAAGCCUUUAGCUUAUUAUUGAAUACCAGUCAGCCUCACAUCUCUUGAAAUCCUCCUUACUUCACGAGCAUAUGCCCCAAUCUUAAUCAACGAUUCUAUCUCCUUCAAAUCUGACUAAAUAACAAUCAUCCAAAAUCCUCCAAAAAAACAAAACAUUUAGUCAAAAUAAACAUAUCCAAAAGUUACAAAUAUAACUUGGGUUAAUUACACCAUAUAAAUCGAUUGUGAAGAGAAUUGUAGUAAGAUUGUACUUAUGGUGUAAGAUUGUGAAGAGAGUUGCUCCGCCAUCUCAAUAUCUUUAUCCAUCUUCUUUCUUUGUUUGGAGAAGAAGAAAUGUGAAAGAGAGAUGGUACGAUGAAGUAACAAAUGAUGAGUAUCAGAAGAAGGAAUCUCUUUGCUUCAAAUUGGAGUUAGAUUUGAAUUGUGAAUUUUCUGAUUUGCUACAUAAAAAGGGAUUUUGAUAUUUUCUAAUUUUCUACUUGAUUUUGAUAUUUUCUACAGAAAGAGAAAUAAUUUUUUGCUACAGAAAGAGAAAUAUUUUUUUGACGGACUUAAGUGAAAUAUUGUAGAGGGAAAUUAAAAAGUGAUGCAAUAGAUAAUUUUCUCCCAUUAAGUGUUGCCAUAGAUGCUUUAUGGCAAUGAUUUUAGAAAGUGUUUCUAUAAAUAUACCUAUUGCAACGAUUCAUUCUCAAUAGCAACAAUUAUAGUGCUAAUAAAACUAUUAUUUUUUGCAAUGGUUAAAAGUGUUGCAAUAGAUAUUCGAUGGCAAUACUUUUGCAAUCGUCACGAAAAAGUCCAUUGCCAUAGGCCCAAUUUCUGGUAGUGCUUGCGCUUGUCCUAAUCUAAAUGUUGGGCUUUGGC
rnacentral:lncRNA from 1 species